rnacentral:lncRNA from 1 species
UUUCAAACAAAUACAAUACCAAAGCAUGUCAAGUGAACUUUCAAUAACAAGUUUACAGUCUGGAACGCUUUUAGGGCAGCGAUCCGCCUACACCCUUUGACAUUUCACAGGUCGAGGACAGCUCUGGGCUUGACCUCUCUUCCUGACCUUGUGCGAUAUGAUGUUGAGCAUGCUUCUGUGUCAGUCAACAGCUCUUGUGGUGUUGCAGGGGACCCGUGAACAUUAGCUCCACAUGCUGUUUGUACUUACGCCAUGCAUCGGGAAUCUCUGUUUGCCAGAGACCACUGCCACACUAUGGGGUCUCUCCAGCCCUAUCCAGGCUGAUCCAAUAUAACCACUGUCUACAGUGUUGAUCUGUCUGUUCAUAUCCUCCAUGUUGUCUACGGUGGCCAGCAGCAUCUAGGCUGUCCACUUUGAAGAGCUGAGACAGAAUGGCUAUAUAAGGAAUGGAACAUAUAGGACCAGGGCCCCGCUACCAUUAUAACAUAUACAGCUGUCAGAUGUGGGCAUUAACAAGACACCUACACCACCCGAUGUCACAGGAAGGCCAAAAAGAUCAUCAAGGACAACAACCACCCGAGCCACUGCCUGUUCACCCCGCUAUCAUCCAGAAGGCGAGGACCUGAGCCCUAGGACCAUGCCUCAGGACUACCUGGCAUGAUGACUCCCAGUCCACCUGGCUGUGCUGCUGCUCCAGUUUCAACUGUUCUGCCUGCGGCUAUGGAACCCUGACCUGUUCACCGGACGUGCUACCUGUCCCAGACCUGCUGUCCCAGACCUGCUGGAACCCUGACCUGUUCACCGGACGUGCUACCUGUCCCAGACCUGCUGUCCCAGACCUGCUGGAACCCUGACCUGUUCACCGGACGUGCACCUGUCCCAGACCUGCUGUUUUCAACUCUCUAGGGACAGCAGGAGCGGUAGAGAUACUCUCAAAGAUCGGCUAUGAAAAAGCCAACUGACACUUAGUCUUGAGUUGCUGACUUGUUGCACCCUCGACAACUACUAUGAUUAUUAUUAUUUGACCAUGCUGGUAAUUUAUGAACAUUUGAACAUCUUGGCCAUGUGCUGUUAUAAUCUCCACCCGGCACAGCCAGAAGAGGACUGGCCACCCCUCAUAGCCUGGUUCCUCUCUAGGUUUCUUCCUAGGUUUUGGCCUUUCUAGGGAGUUUUUCCUAGCCACUGUGCUUCUACACCUGCAUUGCUUGCUGUUUGGGGUUUUAGGCUGGGUUUCUGUACAGCACUUUGAGAUAUCAGCUGAUGUAAGAAGGGCUAUAUAAAUACAUUUGAUUUGAUUUGAUUUGAUGAGGUUCCAUGGAUGACUGCUAAACAAAUCCCCCUGGAAAACAACACCACACAUGCAAACAAACAAACAAACACACGUGGCGGAAGAAUCAGAAUUAGUUAGGUAACAUAGAUAAUUAAGAUGUCUUAUCUGCAUAAUAUGCUUAUAUAAAAUGCUUGUAUUAAAAUGUAUCCUUUGGGACUCUGGUGUUGGCAGUUGCACUUCCUCCCUCAGCUGG